UACAGAGAGUGCAAGCGUUAUUCGGAGUUACUGGGCGUAAAGAGCUCGUAGGUGGUUCUUCAAGUCUGAUGUGAAAUCCCUGGACUCAAUCCAGGAAGUGCAUUGGAUACUGCUGAACUAGAGUAUAGGAGAGGAAAGCGGAAUUCCAGGUGUAGAGGUGAAAAUUCGUUAGAGUAUCUGGAGGAACAACAGUGGCGAAGGCGGCUUUCUGGACUAUAAACGUGACACUGAGGAGCGAAAGCGUGGGGAGCAAACAGGA
rnacentral:rRNA from 1 species